CAACCUGCCCACCACUUGGGGAUAACCUUGCGAAAGUAAGACUAAUACCCAAUGACGUCUCUAGAAGACAUCUGAAGGAGAUUAAAGAUUUAUCGGUGAUGGAUGGGGAUGCGUCUGAUUAGCUUGUUGGCGGGGUAACGGCCCACCAAGGCGACGAUCAGUAGGGGUUCUGAGAGGAAGGUCCCCCACAUUGGAACUGAGACACGGUCCAAACUCCUACGGGAGGCAGCAGUGAGGAAUAUUGGUCAAUGGGCGGAAGCCUGAACCAGCCAAGUAGCGUGCAGGAUGACGGCCCUAUGGGUUGUAAACUGCUUUUAUACAGGAAUAAAGUUAGCCACGUGUGGUUAUUUGUAGGUACUGUAUGAAUAAGGACCGGCUAAUUCCGUGCCAGCAGCCGCGGUAAUACGGAAGGUCCAGGCGUUAUCCGGAUUUAUUGGGUUUAAAGGGAGCGUAGGCCGUCUGUUAAGCGUGUUGUGAAAUGUAGAUGCUCAACAUCUGAAUUGCAGCGCGAACUGGCAGACUUGAGUGUGCGCAACGUANGCGGAAUUCGUGGUGUAGCGGUGAAAUGCUUAGAUAUCACGAAGAACUCCGAUUG
rnacentral:rRNA from 1 species